rnacentral:rRNA from 1 species
GACGAACGCUGGCGGCGUGCUUAACACAUGCAAGUCGAACGGAAAGGCCCUGCUUUUGUGGGGUGCUCGAGUGGCGAACGGGUGAGUAACACGUGAGUAACCUGCCCUUGACUUUGGGAUAACUUCAGGAAACUGGGGCUAAUACCGGAUAGGAGCUCCUGCUGCAUGGUGGGGGUUGGAAAGUUUCGGCGGUUGGGGAUGGACUCGCGGCUUAUCAGCUUGUUGGUGGGGUAGUGGCUUACCAAGGCUUUGACGGGUAGCCGGCCUGAGAGGGUGACCGGCCACAUUGGGACUGAGAUACGGCCCAGACUCCUACGGGAGGCAGCAGUGGGGAAUAUUGCACAAUGGGCGGAAGUCUGAUGCAGCAACGCCGCGCGCGGGAUGACGGCCUUCGGGUUGUAAACCGCUUUCGCCUGUGACGAAGCGUGAGUGACGGUAAUGGGUAAAGAAGCACCGGCUAACUACGUGCCAGCAGCCGCGGUGAUACGUAGGGUGCGAGCGUUGUCCGGAUUUAUUGGGCGUAAAGGGCUCGUAGGUGGUUGAUCGCGUCGGAAGUGUAAUCUUGGGGCUUAACCCUGAGCGUGCUUUCGAUACGGGUUGACUUGAGGAAGGUAGGGGAGAAUGGAAUUCCUGGUGGAGCGGUGGAAUGCGCAGAUAUCAGGAGGAACACCAGUGGCGAAGGCGGUUCUCUGGGCCUUUCCUGACGCUGAGGAGCGAAAGCGUGGGGAGCGAACAGGCUUAGAUACCCUGGUAGUCCACGCUGUAAACGGUGGGUACUAGGUGUGGGGUCCAUUCCACGGGUUCCGUGCCGUAGCUAACGCUUUAAGUACCCCGCCUGGGGAGUACGGCCGCAAGGCUAAAACUCAAAGGAAUUGACGGGGCCCCGCACAAGCGGCGGAGCAUGCGGAUUAAUUCGAUGCAACGCGUAGAACCUUACCUGGGUUUGACAUGGAUCGGGAGCGCUCAGAGAUGGGUGUGCCUCUUUUGGGGUCGGUUCACAGGUGGUGCAUGGCUGUCGUCAGCUCGUGUCGUGAGAUGUUGGGUUAAGUCCCGCAACGAGCGCAACCCUUGUUCACUGUUGCCAGCACGUUAUGGUGGGGACUCAGUGGAGACCGCCGGGGUCAACUCGGAGGAAGGUGGGGAUGACGUCAAGUCAUCAUGCCCCUUAUGUCCAGGGCUUCACGCAUGCUACAAUGGCUGGUACAGAGAGUGGCGAGCCUGUGAGGGUGAGCGAAUCUCGGAAAGCCGGUCUCAGUUCGGAUUGGGGUCUGCAACUCGACCUCAUGAAGUCGGAGUCGCUAGUAAUCGCAGAUCAGCAACGCUGCGGUGAAUAUGUUCCCGGGGCU